GUCAAAAAGCGCGACAUGUAAUG
rnacentral:snRNA from 1 species